rnacentral:rRNA from 1 species
UGCCAGACUCCUACGGGAGGCAGCAGUGGGGGAUAUUGGACAAUGGGGGAAACCCUGAUCCAGCGACGCCGCGUGAGUGAAGAAGUCUUUCGGUAUGUAAAGCCCUAUCAGCAGGGAAGAAAUAGCGACCUUUGGGUCGCCAGACGGUACCUGAUUAAGAAGCCCCGGCUAACUACGUGCCAGCAGCCGCGGUAAUACGUAGGGGGUAAGCGUUAUCCGGAUUUACUGGGUGUAAAGGGAGCGUAGACGGCAGCGCAAGUCUGAAGUGAAAUGCCGGGGCUUAACCCCGGAACUGCUUUGCAAACUGUAUGGGUGGAGUGCAGGAGAGGUAAGUGGAAUUCCUGGUGUAGCGGUGAAAUGCGUAGAUAUUAGGAGGAACACCAGUGGCGAAGGCGGCUUACUG